UACGUAGGGUGCGAGCGUUUAAUCGGAAUUACUGGGCGUAAAGCGUGCGCAGGCGGUUUUGUAAGCCAGAUGUGAAAUCCCCGGGCUUAACCUGGGAAUGGCAUUUGGGACUGCAAGGCUGGAGUGUGGCAGAGGAGACUGGAAUUCCUGGUGUAGCAGUGAAAUGCGUAGAUAUCAGGAGGAAUACCGAUGGCGAAGGCAGGUCUCUGGGCUGACACUGACGCUCAUGCACGAAAGCGUGGGGAGCAAACAGG
rnacentral:rRNA from 1 species